rnacentral:rRNA from 1 species
UGGAGCAAUCCAUGAGUAGAGUGGCAAACGGGUGAGUAACACGUGGGUGACCUGCCUUCGAGUGGGGGAUAACGUCCCGAAAGGGUCGCUAGUACCGCAUGACAUCCUGCUUUUUAAGAGGCGGAGAUCAAAGCCGGGGACCGCAAGGCCUGGCGCUUGAAGAGGGGCCCGCGCCUGAUUAGCUAGUUGGUGGGGUAAUGGCUCACCAAGGCAACGAUCAGUAUCCGGCCUGAGAGGGCGGACGGACACACUGGGACUGAGACACGGCCCAGACUCCUACGGGAGGCAGCAGUGGGGAAUUGUUCGCAAUGGGCGCAAGCCUGACGACGCAACGCCGCGUGGAGGAUGAAGACCUUCGGG